UACAGAGGGUGCGAGCGUUAAUCGGAAUUACUGGGCGUAAAGCGUGCGCAGACGGUCACGUAAGUCGGGUGUGAAAGCCCCGGGCUCAACCUGGGAAUUGCAUUCGAGACUGCGUGGCUAGGGUGCGGAAGAGGGAAGCGGAAUUUCCGGUGUAGCGGUGAAAUGCGUAGAUAUCAGGAGGAAUACCGAUGGCGAAGGCAGGUCUCUGGGCUGACACUGACGCUCAUGCACGAAAGCGUGGGGGAGCAAACAAGG
rnacentral:rRNA from 1 species